GCGCUGCUUCGUGCCGCCUCUGCCGCCACAGCCGCGAUUCUCGUCGGUCCUUCAUCAUUCGAAUCCAAAGUCGCGGCGAUCAAACGAAAAGCGGUCCAAACAAGCUGUACGUAAAUAAUAUCGGGUUUAUUUUACAUCGCGAGCGACCUCCGUUAAUUCACUAAUUAGUGUAUCAAUCAAUCGGUGCAGCGAUACAUCGUUGCUCGCAAUUAACAAUCUUCUACGUAAACAUUUACUUUGCAAAUCUCGUUGAGAAGUCCAUAACCUUCUGGAACUUGUACUUUCGGUGAAAACUAAUAAACAUUCAGUGAGAAAGUUGUAUACAAAUAAUUAAUAUGUGAUGUUUUCAAUAACAACUUCCUUUUUCCAAUAUGGCAGCGGAUUUUUUGUUGUAACAGAUUUUCUUUGCGAUUAAAACGUCAGAAAAUGUUCGGAGGACGAGCAUUGCGGACGCCACCAGGUGUUCGAAGCUUCAAUUGUGCGCCAGUUUAGCUGCAAGCAAUACGUCGAAUACAAUGGAAACAACCGAGAUUGAAGAUCCUUCGGCUGGGUUUUUGGAUAGCACGCGUUUUUGGGUGCAACGUGUGUUUGUGCCGAUAUUGGUUAUCAUCGGCGUGGGUGGCAACAUUGUCACGGUCAUGAUAUUAACAAGGAGGCGAAUGAGAUGCACCACACACAUCUACCUGACUGCUUUGGCUGUGGCGGACCUGAUUUAUUUGCUAUUCGUGUUCGUGUUAUCAUUUGAACAUUAUUCCAACAUUCACGACGGGCGAUUCGUAUUAUAUUGGAGAUUUUAUGGCAUGACGCAUUGGUUAUGUGAUGCAGCAAGUAGUACAUCAGUAUGGCUAAUAGUAUCCUUCACCGUAGAACGGUACAUAAUAGUCUGUCAUCCCCUACGAGGAAAAGUAUACUGUACGGAAAGUCGUGCGAAAAGCAUCAUAACCGUGAUAAGUUUGCUCUGUCUCAUUUCUACGGCCUCCACAACCUUUGAGUAUCAACUUUCAGUCCGAGCACAUUGUCUAGAAGUAAACAAUGCGACGCAAACAUCAAUCGUAAACGAUACGUACAUUACGCCAACGACGGAAUAUCUAGACGAAGGCGACGAGGAAAUCCAACACGACCAGUCGUCAUGCAAUGGAAAUUGUCCCACAGCUGCCAAUGCAACAAAUUCCAGCGAAGUAGAAACUUGUUUGAAGAAAACGCAUACUAUUUAUACCGAGGGAACUGAUCUCAGCAAAAAUGUUACAUAUACAACCAUCUUCUAUUGGUUCUCAUCGAUCACAUUCGGAUUACUUCCAUUCGUAUUAAUUGCUAUGUUCAAUAGCUUUCUGGUGGCUGCGGUUUAUCGUUCCAUGCGGACACGGAAAGCUCUAACUAAUGCAGCUGAGAAUACCAGACAAAGACAUGAAAAUCGCAUUACCAUAUUACUCAUUGGGAUUGUGGUAUUAUUUCUUGUGUGCCAAACACCAACCGCAGCAUUUUUAAUUUAUGAUGCCUUGGAUACUACUGCUCCAAGCAAAAGUGGCGAAAAUAUUAAAAGGGGGCUGGGCAACAUUUUCAACUUAUUGAUCACACUGAACGCAUCCUUGAAUUUUCUAAUGUACUGCGUACUGUCGGCCAAUUACCGGAGCACAUUUCGCUCGGUUUUCUGUGCUAAAAAGCUCCACCGAGGGGACACGGCGUUCUCGCGCUACUACCGCGAACGGCAGACGAGCACGACCGGAUUUCGCCGCAAUCAGAGCGAAUAUCAGCGCACUCCAAGAGGCUUGGAGGUAACUAUCUAUGUCUUUAACCGCGCCACGUACGUGAACACCUUCAAUGUGUGUAUACGGGUGUGAGUGUUGCGGUUUUGACGCUCAAAGUAAUCCAAUCAAUCAGCCGGAUUGGAUUAGGGACGAAAAGUGCGAGCAAGAUCUAGUUAUAGGCUCAUAACACGAUUAAACGAACGCAAUGAUCCAAAUACCUUCAACGAAAUAAUCAUCGCAACUACUUUUCUUCUCCUUUUAUUUGAUUGUCCACCAGUUUGACGAGUAUACCACGCUCAAAGUCGUUAAUGACAAGACCGCUAGGACAUGCAAAAUCAACGGAUCUGGUUGUUUAACAGUCAUCUUACGAUUACAACAUGAAUGUCAGCAAAAGCAGUUGGAAGUGGAUAAAUUGCUUUGCAGCACGCCGCCUAAACUACAACAUAACUCAUGUGUGCAAAAAGAUUUCGUGGUAUACCUAUCAUACGCAAUUUGCAUAAUAUAAAUAAGUUAUGUGACAUAGGUGUUGGUGGUAGGGGCUACGUGUCAGUGUGUGCCUUUGUGACGAAAAGAACCAAGGAUGUUGAGAAUAAAAUUUUAUUGCAUAUGUAAUCAAAUCAAAAUAUAUACUUAUACUUAUAUAUACUAAUUCAUCUUCACUGCGGUCAUAAAAGUCAAUACAGAAUACUUGGAACCGAUCAUAGUCCAUCAGUGUAUAUAUGUCAAGUUUAAGCUGUCUUGCAUGCUAAUCACGGAUACACGGAAUGGUUGCCAAGUUGCAUUGAUACAAUUCUAAUUGUGCGUUUAGUGUUAACCUACGGUUAUAUAGGUAUCGUGUGAAUUAUGUAAUAAAUCGAAUCUAGUCUUUUUAAUCAUGAAUGUACCUAAUUAUUUGUUUAAUGUAUGACAAUUGAUAGUAUUUUGAUUUGUUGUAUUUGUAAUAAAACCAGAGUAUGUUUA